UAAAGGUCCAAAGAUACCUAGCUGGUCUGAUUUCUUUGCUUUUCCUUCAAAAGUCUUCCUACAUAUUUCUUAAUAUGUUUUCUAAGGUUUUCAGUUGUACUUAGAGAAGACUUAUGUGUAGGUGUUUGAUCAUUUCAUUAGAGGAAAAUAUAUAUCUACUCCAUCUUCCAAGAAGUGGAAGUCAUAUGUUGUUAUUUUGUCUUUAAUCAAAGAAAUAUAUUCUCAUAGUUUAAAAAGUCAAGGGACUUAAAGAAUCUUUAGCAGCCUUCCUCUCCCUUAUGUACUCCUGCAUGCCACUCUGGAAGCAACCACUUUCAACAUCUUCAGCUGUUUCUUCUGUUAUUAAUGCCCAUGUUUCUAAACAAUAUGCUCACUCUGCUACUUAUUGAUCCCAAAAUUUGAUAUGUAUUGAUUUUUUUGUGGUGGUAGAUAAGUAUUUAGCUUUCUCAUAUAUUUUUACCUUAUUUUCUUUGUCCUUGUUAUAGGCAUGUCACUAUUUUUGUUAAAUUGGAAUCAGUAUUUAUAUUAUUACAAUAAUGUAGUGGAAACAAUAUUUUUAUUUUUCCAAGUUGCUCUGUCAAAUAUGCCUCCCAUUUGUCCUUUUCCCUCUAACAUACAAUUAUAUUAACUCAUCUAUCAUAUGCUCCUUUUUUCUGAAAAUUUCUCCCCUUUAAAGUCCUUUUAUCUCUUCCUUCUGUCUGAACUGGUUAUUCCCUUGACUGCUGUACUGGUAUCAUUCUGGAAUUCUUCUUUUUCCAUCCUCCUGAGUUGUAUCCACCAACUUGUCUACCUAUUGAAAUUAAACAAGUGUAGUAGAAUUCUAGAAAUUAGUGGCUCUAGUGAAUGACAUAUAAAUAUUCCUAUUACUAGUCUUUCUACUAUUCUGUAUGUUUAAAAACUUUAAAAAAUUUUUGUGGAACUUUUUCCCAUGCCAUUUUGAUUCCUAUUUCUUGAAGGUAAUGCCCGUUCUUCUUCCUUUAUGGAAACUUUUAGACUCCUUUUCCUAAAUGUUCUGAAGUUUCAAUGCUGUGCCCUUGUGAAGGACAUUUAUAUAUGUUGGACCCUUGGUGAGCAGUUUUUAUCUAUAGUAGACUCAUAUACUUCAGGCUUGGGAAAAUCUCUUAUAGUAUUUUAUGGUAAUUUUCUCUCUUUUACUUUCUAAUUUUACUAUUUCAGGAGCUAUCCUUAAGCAACUAAAUAUUAGAUCUCCUGGACUGAUUCUAAAAGACUAAUAUUUUUUUUCUGUUUUCUGACUUCUUAACCACUAUUCUCUUUUGGGAGAAUUUUCUGGGACUUUAUUUUCCAAACUUAUAUUGAAUUUUUUG
rnacentral:lncRNA from 1 species